rnacentral:tRNA from 1 species
AUUCAAGUAGCUUAAAAUUAAAGCAUAAUAUUGAAGAUAUUAUUAUAAGUUUAUACUUCUUGGGUA